CUGGAGCAGGCGCCGGGCGGGCUUUUGGCUCGCGGCGGCGGCUCGCUCUGCCUCGUGAUAUCACUGCCGGAGCUCAAAUCCCGCUUAGCGUUCCCAUCCUCACGCCGUCUGUCUACGCUGGCGGAGGUGGAAUCUUUCUGCAGCAGGCAGGCAGCUCCCUUGAGUAGGCGAGGUUGGAGGAGACAGGGACAGGGUCGAUGUGAAGACCAGUGUGAGGAACGGAACGAAGGAAGCAGGCCCAGUAUGAAAUUAGUCGCUGCUUAUUACGUGCUGCCUCUCUUUCCUGCUCUGGUCUUUGGCACUAGAAUGACGCAUCCUUGGAAGAAGAGUUAAAAUGGAGAGGAAGCACCAAACCAGCUUUUGCAGAUGCAGCUUACAUUUUCCUGACAUUAGGGCAGUCAAAAUAACCAAGACCUGCUACAUGGGAGGUGUGAAUUAAGGUAAGCUUGUUACAUGUAAAGUGCUCAGACAGUUGGGAAAAGCACAACCAAGAAUGUGCUAAUAUGGGAAGUUUUAACAGAUUGACAAUUAUUUAAUAUGUAUCCUUUAAUAUAUUGUUUAUGACUUUGCUGAUAUCAGAUUUGGUAUGAAUUGUUUAGGGAUUUGAGCAUAAUACAGAGUCAAAAUAAAUCCACUGUAAAAAUAUACA
rnacentral:lncRNA from 1 species